UACGAAGGGGGCUAGCGUUGCUCGGAAUCACUGGGCGUAAAGCGCACGUAGGUGGGUCGUUAAGUCGGGGGUGAAAUCCUGGAGCUCAACUCCAGAACUGCCUUCGAUACUGGCGAUCUUGGAGUCCGGGAGAGGUGAGUGGAACUGCGAGUGUAGAGGUGAAAUUCGUAGAUAUUCGCAAGAACACCAGUGGCGAAGGCGGCUCACUGGCCCGGUACUGACGCUGAGAUGCGAAAGCGUGGGGAGCAAACAGG
rnacentral:rRNA from 1 species